rnacentral:rRNA from 1 species
AUUGAACGCUGGCGGCAUGCCUUACACAUGCAAGUCGAACGGUAACAGGUUAAGCUGACGAGUGGCGAACGGGUGAGUAAUAUAUCGGAACGUGCCCAGUCGUGGGGGAUAACGUAGCGAAAGUUACGCUAAUACCGCAUACGAUCUACGGAUGAAAGCGGGGGACUCGUAAGAGCCUCGCGCGAUUGGAGCGGCCGAUAUCAGAUUAGGUAGUUGGUGGGGUAAAGGCUCACCAAGCCAACGAUCUGUAGCUGGUCUGAGAGGACGACCAGCCACACUGGAACUGAGACACGGUCCAGACUCCUACGGGAGGCAGCAGUGGGGAAUUUUGGACAAUGGACGCAAGUCUGAUCCAGCCAUUCCGCGUGCAGGAUGAAGGCCCUCGGGUUGUAAACUGCUUUUGUACGGAACGAAAAGGUUUCUAUUAAUACUAGGAGCUCAUGACGGUACCGUAAGAAUAAGCACCGGCUAACUACGUG